rnacentral:rRNA from 1 species
GGGUUGUGAGGUUAAGCGACUAAGCGUACACGGUGGAUGCCCUGGCAGUCAGAGGCGAUGAAGGGCGUGCUAAUCUGCGAUAAGCGCCGGUAAGGUGAUAUGAACCGUUAUAACCGGCGAUACCCGAAUGGGGAAACCCAGUGUGACUCGUCACACUAUCAUUAACUGAAUCCAUAGGUUAAUGAGGCGAACCGGGGGAACUGAAACAUCUAAGUACCCCGAGGAAAAGAAAUCAACCGAGAUUCCCCCAGUAGCGGCGAGCGAACGGGGAGGAGCCCAGAGCCUGAAUCAGCAUGUGUGUUAGUGGAAGCGUCUGGAAAGGCGCGCGAUACAGGGUGACAGCCCCGUACACAAAAGCGCAUGUGCUGUGAGCUCGAUGAGUAGGGCGGGACACGUGGUAUCCUGUCUGAAUAUGGGGGGACCAUCCUCCAAGGCUAAAUACUCCUGACUGACCGAUAGUGAACCAGUACCGUGAGGGAAAGGCGAAAAGAACCCCGGCGAGGGGAGUGAAAAAGAACCUGAAACCGUGUACGUACAAGCAGUGGGAGCCCCACCACUAAGCCAGUGGUGAACUCCACAUACGCAUCCUUUGCUGAGGAUACGGUUAACGGAGCGAAAGCGACGUUCAACCGCAAAAGAAGCAGAGGGGGCUUAGUGGUGGGGUGACUGCGUACCUUUUGUAUAAUGGGUCAGCGACUUAUAUUCUGUAGCAAGGUUAACCGAAUAGGGGAGCCGGAGGGAAACCGAGUCUUAACCGGGCGUUAAGUUGCAGGGUAUAGACCCGAAACCCGGUGAUCUAGCCAUGGGCAGGUUGAAGGUUGGGUAACACUAACUGGAGGACCGAACCGACUAAUGUUGAAAAAUUAGCGGAUGACCUGUGGCUGGGGGUGAAAGGCCAAUCAAACCGGGAGAUAGCUGGUUCUCCCCGAAAGCUAUUUAGGUAGCGCCUCGUGAAUUCAUCUCCGGGGGUAGAGCACUGUUUCGGCUAGGGGGCCAUCCCGGCUUACCAACCCGAUGCAAACUGCGAAUACCGGAGAAUGUUAUCACGGGAGACACACGGCGGGUGCUAACGUCCGUCGUGAAGAGGGAAACAACCCAGACCGCCAGCUAAGGUCCCAAAGUCAUGGUUAAGUGGGAAACGAUGUGGGAAGGCCCAGACAGCCAGGAUGUUGGCUUAGAAGCAGCCAUCAUUUAAAGAAAGCGUAAUAGCUCACUGGUCGAGUCGGCCUGCGCGGAAGAUGUAACGGGGCUAAACCAUGCACCGAAGCUGCGGCAGCGACGCUGAUGCGUUGUUGGGUAGGGGAGCGUUCUGUAAGCCUGCGAAGGUGGCCUGUGAGGGUUGCUGGAGGUAUCAGAAGUGCGAAUGCUGACAUAAGUAACGAUAAAGCGGGUGAAAAGCCCGCUCGCCGGAAGACCAAGGGUUCCUGUCCAACGUUAAUCGGGGCAGGGUGAGUCGACCCCUAAGGCGAGGCCGAAAGGCGUAGUCGAUGGGAAACGGGUUAAUAUUCCCGUACUUGGUGUUACUGCGAAGGGGGGACGGAGAAGGCUAUGUUGGCCGGGCGACGGUUGUCCCGGUUUAAGCGUGUAGGUGUGUGUUCCAGGUAAAUCCGGUUCACUUUAACACUGAGGCGUGAUGACGAGGCACUACGGUGCUGAAGCAACAAAUGCCCUGCUUCCAGGAAAAGCCUCUAAGCAUCAGGUAACAUCAAAUCGUACCCCAAACCGACACAGGUGGUCAGGUAGAGAAUACCAAGGCGCUUGAGAGAACUCGGGUGAAGGAACUAGGCAAAAUGGUGCCGUAACUUCGGGAGAAGGCACGCUGACACGUAGGUGAAGUGAUUUACUCAUGGAGCUGAAGUCAGUCGAAGAUACCAGCUGGCUGCAACUGUUUAUUAAAAACACAGCACUGUGCAAACACGAAAGUGGACGUAUACGGUGUGACGCCUGCCCGGUGCCGGAAGGUUAAUUGAUGGGGUCAGCGCAAGCGAAGCUCCUGAUCGAAGCCCCGGUAAACGGCGGCCGUAACUAUAACGGUCCUAAGGUAGCGAAAUUCCUUGUCGGGUAAGUUCCGACCUGCACGAAUGGCGUAAUGAUGGCCAGGCUGUCUCCACCCGAGACUCAGUGAAAUUGAACUCGCUGUGAAGAUGCAGUGUACCCGCGGCAAGACGGAAAGACCCCGUGAACCUUUACUAUAGCUUGACACUGAACAUUGAGCCUUGAUGUGUAGGAUAGGUGGGAGGCUUUGAAGUGUGGACGCCAGUCUGCAUGGAGCCGACCUUGAAAUACCACCCUUUAAUGUUUGAUGUUCUAACGUGGACCCGUGAUCCGGGUUGCGGACAGUGUCUGGUGGGUAGUUUGACUGGGGCGGUCUCCUCCUAAAGAGUAACGGAGGAGCACGAAGGUUGGCUAAUCCUGGUCGGACAUCAGGAGGUUAGUGCAAUGGCAUAAGCCAGCUUGACUGCGAGCGUGACGGCGCGAGCAGGUGCGAAAGCAGGUCAUAGUGAUCCGGUGGUUCUGAAUGGAAGGGCCAUCGCUCAACGGAUAAAAGGUACUCCGGGGAUAACAGGCUGAUACCGCCCAAGAGUUCAUAUCGACGGCGGUGUUUGGCACCUCGAUGUCGGCUCAUCACAUCCUGGGGCUGAAGUAGGUCCCAAGGGUAUGGCUGUUCGCCAUUUAAAGUGGUACGCGAGCUGGGUUUAGAACGUCGUGAGACAGUUCGGUCCCUAUCUGCCGUGGGCGCUGGAGAACUGAGGGGGGCUGCUCCUAGUACGAGAGGACCGGAGUGGACGCAUCACUGGUGUUCGGGUUGUCAUGCCAAUGGCACUGCCCGGUAGCUAAAUGCGGAAGAGAUAAGUGCUGAAAGCAUCUAAGCACGAAACUUGCCCCGA